UAAUAUUUUAUCAGCAAAAACUAUGUAACAUGGGAAGUACGCAUGUCAAUAUUUUUACCAAUUCAACAAAUUUACCGACCACUUGGGAAAUUCUCUGACGUAAAAAGAGCACUGGAGUUUACCUAAGAAAGUAUUUUUAAAAGGUUCGCCAUCCCUCAGGGAGAGUUUGGGAAGCAAGAUGAAUUACAUAAUUAAGAUAUUCCUUACCUGAAUACCUUCAUUCACUUGAGUUUAAGGUGUUUCAAGAGCGAGGACCCAUAGUUAAAAUUUUACGAGUUCUCACAUCACAUCUAGUGUGAGGAGUGGAUAAUAAAAAGGU